AGUGAACGCUGGCGGCGUGCCUAAUACAUGCAAGUCGAACGGAGUGGCGCACGGGUGAGUAAUGUAUAGCUAAUCUGCCCUACACUAGAGGACAACAGGUGGAAACGACUGCUAAUACUCUAUAGUGUAGGAUGAGGCUAUAUUGUAUCAGCUAGUUGGUGAGGUAAUGGCUCACCAAGGCUAUGACGCAUAACUGGUCUGAGAGGAUGAUCAGUCGAACUCGAAGUGAGGCACGGUCCGGACUCCUUCGAGAAGCAGCAGAAGGGAGUGUUGCUCAAUGGGGGAAACCCUAAAGGAGCUACGGCGCGUGAAGGAUGGCACUUUUCGGAGCGUAAACUCCUUUUGUUAGGGAUGCGGUACCUAACGAAUAAGCACCGGCUAACUCCGUGCCAGCAGCCGCGGUAAUUC
rnacentral:rRNA from 1 species